UGCAUAGGAAGAACUACCUGUGGCACAGGCUGCUCCAUCCCUGGCAGUGUUGAAGGCUAGGUUGGAUGGGGCUUGGAGCAACCUGCUCUAGUGGAAGGUGUCCCUGCUUCCAUACUGCGACACACAGUUAAUAUCUGUGUCAUUCAAUAUUCACAGUUGAAAAUCCCUGUUUUCCAUCGCUCCCAUUCCAAGAAGGAAAGUUUUGUCAUUUUACAGGAGCUGCCUUUUCCCACCAACAUUAUUUGCCAUUUCCUUUCCAGUCAUUUCUUUCCUCCAUAAUUAAUGUCUAAUGAUUCUCCACAUAUGCAUUUAGCCAGAAAGCCAAAAGCGCCUCAGACAAAGCAAACAACUGCUCUGCAGCUUAUCCGAGUGGUUCAAGCGCUCUGCUGAUAACACAGGGCUAAAACAGGUAAUGAAGAAGAAAGCUCCCAAUACUUCUAUAAAGAGACACUUCAUUAAGGUAAUUAAAGCGACCAUUUAAAGGAUUAUUAACACACAAAAGAAAUUAUGCAACGGGCUUUGGGCAGACUCACCAGUAUUUUAUGGUGCCUUUAAGAAAUGAAGUGGUUUAAUAAGCUUUUGAAACAAAAAGACUCAUUUCUUGGCGAAGGAUGGAGCCUUUCCUACACCGGGGAAUGGCAUAUUCAGGCUCUUUGUGAUUAUUUUGUGAGGAGAGUUGUUGUUCUUUGGGGUUUUUAAUGGGCAACAAGUACUUCUACCGAGGUGGCAAAUAACUGAAUUAGCUGGUUAAAUUGUGCUGGUUUAAAGCGAUGUAUUUGCCCCAAAGCGCCCACUGAAGUCACGCAGAUCAGCGCUGGAACCACAGGGCACAGCAGUCACGGUCUCACCAUUCCACUAUGAAGGAAACAGCGAAGCCUUAAGCCUCUUAAAGAUGUAGAAAACCCCUAGAGAGACGCUAGUUGAUACUUCACAAACCACCACUUCUGAAGAAGGGCUUUCUCCCAACAUCCUUCAGUGAUUAAUCACAGUCUUUAUUUAAACCACAGGCAAUCUAACACAGAUAUCACCAGUGCUAAAAUCACCAGAGCAGAGCACGAUGCAGCUUUCAGCUCCACUAGAGGAAACCAAAAGGCAUCUGGGAAAAUGCAUUUUUGAUGAACGCAUGAAGAACAAAGCACCCACAACAGUGCUGAAGAGACGUGACACACUUCUCAAAUCCCUUAAUUAACUUAGGGAGCCUAAAGUGGUUUGCUAUGAGCUCAGGUACUGCUCUAACCCCAUCACGGUGGUUACAGUGACUCAACCCCCCUGGCACUGUGUGGAUUUGCUUGUGCUGAUAGAGAAGAUGCCAAGGGAUAAGCAAGAGACAUCCAGGCUGCAAGAGUACAACUAUUCCAAGCAUUUUUACGAGUAUCCCUCCUACAUCUGUUGUUUCUCAUGGAUAUAUUCUGCUUUAAAGUGACUUCAUUUGAAUUAUAACCUCA